GCUGACACAGGGAUUGCCUCAGUAACGGCGAGUGAAGCGGCAAGAGCUCAACUUUGGAAUCGCUCCGGCGAGUUGUAGUCUGGAGGUGGCCACCACGAGGUGUUCUAGCAGCAGGCAAGUCCUUUGGAACAAGGCGCCAGCGAGGGUGACAGCCCCGUACCUGCUUUUGCUAGUGCUUCCUGUGGCCCACCGACGAGUCGAGUUGUUUGGGAAUGCAGCUCUAAGUGGGUGGUAAAUUCCAUCUAAGGCUAAAUAUUGGCGAGAGACCGAUAGCGAACAAGUACAGUGAUGGAAAGAUGAAAAGCACUUUGAAAAGAGAGUGAAACAGUACGUGAAAUUGUUGAAAGGGAAGGGCUUGCACCCAGACACGGUUUCGGCCGGGCCAGCAUCAAGUAGAACGGGGUUAAAAGACCUGGGGAAUGUAGCUACCUCUUGGUAGUGUUAUAGCCCUUGGGUGAUGACCCCUGUUUUGCUUGAGGACAGCGGUCUCUAGGAUGCUGGCGCAAUGGUUGCAAGCCACCCGUCUUGAAACACGGACCAAGGAGUCUAACGUCUAUGCGAGUGUACGGGUGAAAAACCCCUGCGCGGAAUGAAAGUAAGAGGUUGGAACCCUCUCGGGGGUGCACAAUCGACCGACCCAGAAGUGCUCGGACGGGUUUGAGUAGGAGCAUAGCUGUUGGGACCCGAAAGAUGGUGAACUAUACCUGAAUAGGGUGAAGCCAGAGGAAACUCUGGUGGAGGCUCGUAGCGGUUCUGACGUGCAAAUCGAUCGUCGAAUUUGGGUAUAGGGGCGAAAGACUAAUCGAACCAUCUAGUAGCUGGUUCCUGCCGA
rnacentral:rRNA from 1 species